AGAUGUAAAGUUUUACAGUUACUUGUAUAUAGUGUGAUACGUCUUUGAAACCUUCGUAUGCAGAUAUGAAGAAUACUGUUCUUGCACAUAAUAGAACUUUUGUGUUUGUGAAUCUGUAACAUUCUGUUACAGAUUUUAUCGCUUCUCAGCGUGAUUUUAACAUUUUCAUAUUU